ensembl:lncRNA
GAUCCCACUGAUGAUCCCAUCCAUCCCAAUGAUCCCACCGAUGAUCCCAUCCAUAAUGAUCCCACUGAUGAUCCCAUCCAUCCCAAUUCUCCCACAGAUGAUCCCAUCCAUCCCAAUGAUCCCACAGAUGAUCCCAUCCAUCCCAAUGAUCCCACUGAUGAUCCCAUCCAUCCCGAUGACCCCACAGAUGAUCCCAUCCAUCCCAAUUCUCCCACAGAUGAUCCCAUCCAUCUCGGCGAUCCCACCCAUCCGCAGUCCCAUGUCACUCUCCGAUGCCAUGACACCAGUGGUGAUCCCACUCAUCCCACUGAUUAUCCCAGCAAUCCCACCCAUCACACUGAUCCCAUCAGCACACUGAUCCCACUGACGCCACUGAUGAUCCCACCAGGGAUCCCACCAAUGAUCCCAUCAGGGACCCCACCCGUGUCACCCAUCGAUGCCAUGAUCCCACCGAUGAUCCCACAUUGGACCCCACCCGUGUCACCCAUUGAUGUCCUGAUCCACUGAUGACCCCACCAAUGAUCCCACCAAUGACCCCACCAUGGACCCCACUCAUCCCACCCAUCCCCUCCAUCCCAGUGAUCCCAUGCAUCCCACGGAUGAUCCCAUCCACUCCAAUGAUCCCAUUAAUCCCAGUGAUAGCAUCCGAUCCCCACUGGUUCGCCAUGAUUGAUCCACCAGUUGGAUUCCACCAUGUCACCCACCAAUGCCAUGAUCCCACUGGUGACCCCACCAUGGAUCCCACUGAUGACACCGCCAUGGACCCCACCCAUGUCACCCGCGAUCUGCCACGAUCCCACCAAUAUCCCACAAUUUGGACCCACCCGUGUCACCCAUUGACUGUCCUGGAUCCACUGAUGACCCCACUAAUGGAUCCCACCUGUGUCACCCAUCGAUGCCACGAUCCCACCAAUGAUCCCACUGAUGACCCCACCAAUGAUCCCACCAAUGAUCCCACCAUGUCACCCACCAAUGCCAUGAUCCCACUGGUGACCCCACCAAUGAUCCCACUGAUGACCCCACCAAUGAUCCCACCAACGAUCCCACUCGUGUCACCCAUCAAUGCCAUGAUCCCACCAGUGACCCCACCAAUGAUCCCACCCAUGUCACCCAUCAAUGCCAUGAUCCCACUGAUGUCCCCACCAAUGACCCCACCAAUGAUCCCACCCAUCCCGUGGCUGAUCCCAUCCACCCCAAUGAUCCCAUUAAUCCCAGUGACAGCAUCGAUCCCACUGGUGCCACCAAUGGUCCCAUUUGUGACCCCACCCGUGUCACCCCCUGAAGCCACGACCCCACACUGAACCCGUCCAUCCCCCCAGAGACCCCGGACAGCUCAGACAUGCAGCCGUCCCGUCACCCCACACAUCCCACUGAUGAGCCCACUCAUGUCAAACACUGACCCCAUCACCCCACCCCUCAUCCCACCCAUCCCACUGAUGGUCCCACCCACCCCACUGAUGAUCCCACUCAUGUCAACUACUGAUCCCAUCACCCCACCCCACUGAUGUUCCCACCCAUCCCACUGAUGACCCCACUCAUGUCACCCAGUGAUCCCAUCACCCCACCCCUCAUCCCACCCACCCCACUGAUGGUCCCACCCCACUGAUGGUCCCACCUACCCCACUGAUGGUCCCACUCAUCCCACUGAUGGUCCCACACAACCCACCCAUCCCACUGAUGAUCCCACUCAUGUCACCCAGUGAUCCCAUCACCCCACCCCUCAUCCCACCCACCCCACUGAUGGUCCCAUCCCACUGAUGUUCCCACCCACCCCACUGAUGACCCCACUCAUGUCACCCACUGAUCCCAUCACCCCACCCAUCAUCCCACCCAUCCCACUCACCCCACUGAUGGUCCCAACCAUCCCACUGAUGGUUCCACCCCACUGAUGGUCCCACCCAUUUCACUGAUGGUCCCACCCACCCCACUGAUUGUCCCACCCCUCCCAGCGAUCCCAUUGAUGCCACCGAUAACCCCAGCCAUUCCACCAUCCCAUAAUCCCACCGAGGAUCCCAACCAUCCCAAUGAUGACCCCAUUCAUCCCAAUAAUCCCACCCAUCCCACCCCAUCCAUCCCACUGACCCCCUCCAUCCCAUCCAACCCAAUAGUGACCCCAUUCAUCCCACUGAUCCUACCCAUCCCAUCCCAUCCCAUCCCAUCCCAUCCGUCCCACUGACCCCACCCAUCCCAAUGAUGACCCCACCCAUCCCAUCAUCGCACCCAUCCCACUGACCCCACCCACCCCAGUGAUGACCCCUUCCCAUUAUCCCAUCACCCCACCCAUCCCAAUGGUGACCCCCC